rnacentral:rRNA from 1 species
CAGUCGCCGCGGUAAUACGGAGGGUGCAAGCGUUAAUCGGAAUUACUGGGCGUAAAGCGUGCGUAGGCGGUUUGUUAAGUCUGUUGUGAAAUCCCCGGGCUCAACCUGGGAAUGGCAAUGGAUACUGGCAAGCUAGAGUGUGUCAGAGGAUGGUGGAAUUCCCGGUGUAGCGGUGAAAUGCGUAGAGAUCGGGAGGAACAUCAGUGGCGAAGGCGGCCAUCUGGGACAACACUGACGCUGAGGCACGAAAGCGUGGGGAGCAAACAGGAUUAGAUACCCCAGUAGUCCCUGUCUCUUAUAA